rnacentral:rRNA from 1 species
AACGUAGGUACCGAGCGUUAUCCGGAUUUACUGGGCGUAAAGCGUGUUCAGGCGGCCUGGCAAGUCGGGCAUGAAAUCUCUCGGCUCAACCGAGAGAGGCUGUCCGAUACUGCUGGGCUUGAGGACGGUAGAGGGUGGUGGAAUUCCGCGUGUAGUGGUGAAAUGCGUAGAUAUCGGGAGGAACACCAGUGGCGAAGGCGACUACCUGGCCUGUUCUUGACGCUGAGGCGCGAAAGCUAGGGGAGCAAACGGG